UACGAGGGGAGCUAGCGUUGUUCGGAUUUACUGGGCGUAAAGCGCACGUAGGCGGAUCGUUAAGUCAGGGGUGAAAUCCUGGGGCUCAACCCCAGAACUGCCUUUGAUACUGGCGAUCUCGAGUCCGGAAGAGGUGAGUGGAACUCCUAGUGUAGAGGUGGAAUUCGUAGAUAUUAGGAAGAACACCAGUGGCGAAGGCGGCUCACUGGUCCGGUACUGACGCUGAGGUGCGAAAGCGUGGGGAGCAAACAGG
rnacentral:rRNA from 1 species